AGCGGGCUUUACAGUGGUUUCUGCUGGAAGUGUCUCAGGACAAAAACGCAAACUAGGAGGUAAAAGAUAAAAAUAAUACUUUAAUUAUAUUUUUAUUUUUUGACUUUCGUUUGAAUUGAAUAUAACGUAAUUUUACAACCUUGUUUAAGGUGAAGAUGAUGAUUCCACAAAUUCAAAACGAAAUAAGGGUUAUGACCCAAACAGUGUGCCAUCGACCUCAACUUACGAGAUUUCUGAUAAAAUGACACCACAUCAUUCAGAAAUAGUAGUUUCUGCUGGAGGAGUCUCAGGACAAAAACGCAAACUAGAAGUUCUCUGGAGUUGCUCCGCCCUAAACGUGAUACUUCGAAGCCUGAUAUAACGCCCGGAGCGACG